rnacentral:rRNA from 1 species
GACGAACGCUGGCGGCGUGCCUAAUACAUGCAAGUAGAACGCUGAAGGAGGAGCUUGCUUCUCUGGAUGAGUUGCGAACGGGUGAGUAACGCGUAGGUAACCUGCCUGGUAGCGGGGGAUAACUAUUGGAAACGAUAGCUAAUACCGCAUAAGAGUAGAUGUUGCAUGACAUUUGCUUAAAAGGUGCAAUUGCAUCACUACCAGAUGGACCUGCGUUGUAUUAGCUAGUUGGUGGGGUAACGGCUCACCAAGGCGACGAUACAUAGCCGACCUGAGAGGGUGAUCGGCCACACUGGGACUGAGACACGGCCCAGACUCCUACGGGAGGCAGCAGUAGGGAAUCUUCGGCAAUGGACGGAAGUCUGACCGAGCAACGCCGCGUGAGUGAAGAAGGUUUUCGGAUCGUAAAGCUCUGUUGUAAGAGAAGGACGUGUGUGAGAGUGGAAAGUUCACACUGUGACGGUAUCUUACCAGAAAGGGACGGCUAACUACGUG